rnacentral:rRNA from 1 species
GAUGAACGCUGACAGAAUGCUUAACACAUGCAAGUCCACUUGAAUUUGGGUUUUUAACUUAGGUUUGGGUGGCGGACGGGUGAGUAACGCGUAAAGAACUUGCCUCACAGCUAGGGACAACAUUUGGAAACGAAUGCUAAUACCUAAUAUUAUGAUAAUAGGGCAUCCUAUAAUUAUGAAAGCUAUAAGCGCUGUGAGAGAGCUUUGCGUCCCAUUAGCUAGUUGGAGAGGUAACGGCUCACCAAGGCGAUGAUGGGUAGCCGGCCUGAGAGGGUGAUCGGACAAAAGGGGACUGAGACACGGCCCUUACGCAUAAGGGAGGAAGCAGUGGGGAAUAUUGGACAAUGGACCGAGAGUGUGAUCCAGAAAUUCUGUGUGCAAGAUGAAGUUUUUCGGAAUGUAAAGUGCUUUCAGUUGGGAAGAAAAAAAUGACGGUACCAACAGAAGAAGUGACGGCUAAAUACGUG